UCCCUGUCACCGCCGCCACACUAUCUCCCACCUCGGGAUCUCUCCAAGUCCAAAAAUCCCCCCCUUGUUUUUCCCCACCAAACCAAUCCUUCCCAGCCAUCCCGAUCCCCACCAAAUCCUCCUCCUUGCCUCGAUCAAGCCCAAAAGAGAGGAGCUCCUCCUCUGCUUUCUCCUCGAGCCCGCAGCAACAGCGGAGCGCCCGAGCGCUCCUCACCUUGCCGCUGCACCCCGCCUCCAUUCCGGCGCCGGGAACGAAACCCCCGCGCCCGGAUCUCACCGUCGUGUCAACCGUCCGAGCUCCGGUGAACCCAACCGCCUGAACCACGUCCCGUCUUCCUCGUCGACCACUGCAGCAGGAUCGGGUCCAGCGCCAUGGCUGCAGCCCGAGUCCUCCUGCCUCGCUCGAUCUGGACCAGGAGGGACCCGAGCAUCUCCACCGUCGCCGUCUCAAGCCACUGCCGCCACGAGCUCCAACUCCGGCCACCUCGUCUCCGCGGUGAUCUGACGCCUCGGGUUCCGUCCGACCGCCGGCGUCCCCUCCUAGCCUCUGCUUCUAUCACACACGCGCGCCUGCCUCCCUCGUCUCACAUGCGUCGUCGCGGGUCAACCGCGUCCGCCGCCAUGGGCUUCCUCAUGGAGCACCACCACCGCACCUCCUCGGAUCUGUCGGGUCCCGACCAUCCCCGUCGUUGCCGGAGCCCCAAGACAUCGCGCCCAAGUCCCACGUCGCCGGCAGCCGUUCUCGCCGUCCGUCGCUCUGAACCUGAUGUUGGUUCUGUUCUUCAGAAACGAGCAGCAACAGCUCACCCGCCCCUUCGCCUGUUGACCGAUUGGGCUGAUCACAUGGGCUGUAACUGCGGGUCGGCCUCUUUCCGCACGAAGGCCCAGCGUGCCCCUUCGUGGCCUACCCAUCCUCCUCCCCACUGAACUGGGCUUGGCCCAUGGUGAGAAACCCCCAGCGCCCAUGUCCUGUUUCGGCAUGUAGCUCUAAUUCGGCCCGAUAUGUUUUUUUCUGGUCCUGCGAAUUUGCUAAUAAUCCAGAGUUGACAGAA